UGCCCUUCUAUCUCCUUAUCACAAAGCUGUAUUUGUGUACAUGAUACUAUAUGUGGGGAUCAGAGGAGUUGGUUUGUUAAAGCAAAUGUUGGAUUUGAUACAACCUAAAGGUAAUUGGAGAUGAAGCGUUUAAACAAAGAAGAUUUUUUCAUCCAUUUAUCCAUUUUGAAGAAGACAAUAAAGUUUCUUUCUCUAGAUAACAUAUGAAUUAUGGGUUCAAGUUAAUUUUAUGACAACAUAUUGUACUUGU